GGGCGUCUCUAUAAAAGCAGAUGGCACCUGUCAUUUGAAGCUGGACUGUCGUCUAAUCUCCAGUUAGUGCUGGGAGUAGAACUGUCUUUGCCACCAGCCUAGAAUUGCCAGUAAUUCUAUUUUCUGUGUUUAGAAAGCUGAUUCCUGCCUGCUGAGUUGCCUGGGUUCCUUCGUCUGCUGGUUUUCCACCCUACCACCGAUUCGGUCUUCUUCUCCGGAGGAUCUCCACCUGUUGCCAGCUUAACCUGGGAACAUCAACGUACACCUGGAAAGAGGACUUUCUCUGGUUCACUUACAGGCCUGGGUCUCGUAAUGUAAAGCCUGAUGCUCUUUCUCGACAGUUUUCUGGUUCUGAGGAAUUUAAGACUCCUGAGCCUAUCCUUCCUGGAUCCUGUUUGGUGGCAUCACCUACCUGGCAGGUGGAGACUAAGGUGUUGCAGUGGGGCCACACCUCCAAGAUUGCCUGUCAUCCGGGAUAUAACUGUAUCCUGGAGAUUCUGUGACUGAAGUUUUGGUGGCCCACCAUGGACAAGAAUGUCAGAAUAUGUGAAGGCCUGUACGGUUUGUUCAAGGAACAAGAUGUCCAGCCAACCCAUCUCUGGAGUCUUGCAACCGCUGCCUAUUCCAAAACGUUCUUGGUCUCACAUCGCAGUAGGUUUUGUCACGGGAUUGCCUCUGUCUCAAGGUAAAACUACUAUUAUGACAAUUGUGGACCGUUUCUCUGAGACUGCUCAUUUUGUGCCCUUGGCAAAGCUCCCUUUUGUGAAAGAAACAGCAGAGAUGAUGGUGAAUCAUGUUUUUAGACUUCAUGGAAUUCCAGCCGACAUUGUCCCUGACAACGGUCCCCAGUUUACUUUGGCGGUUUUCGGGGGUCAUUUUGUGAAGCGUUGGGAGCUACUGUUUAACAUCUGGUUAUCAUCCUCAGCCAACGGCCAGACUGAGCGCACAAACCAGUCCCUGGAGGUUUUCCUGCACUGUCUGGCAUCAGAGAAUCCAUCUUCAUGGUCUGAGAGGUUGCCAUGGAUUGAGUAUGCCUGUAACUCCAUGUCCAAUGCUUCGUUUGGGUUGUCGCCAUUCCAGUGCUCAUUAGGUUACAACCGCCUUUAUUUCCUUCUCAGGAGCAGGACAUUUCCAUUCUGUCUGUCCAGGCUAUGGUUGGGAGGUUCAGGCGCACCUGGAAGAAGGCCAGGUGGGCACUUCUCCAAUGGUCACAAAGGAUGUCCGUGCAGGCAAAUCGUCAUCGCAGACCAGCUCCAGUUUAUCGGCCUGGACAGAAGGUGUGUGUGGUGAAGCUGGCAGCAGGUGUGCUGCAUCGUAAUCAGCGGACGAGCUUCAGGUGGGAGCUGAGUGACUGGUAGCUGGGCGUCUCUAUAAAAGCAGAUGGCACCUGUCAUUCGAAGCUGGACCGUUGUCUAAUCUCCAAAAGCAGAUUCCUGCCUGCUGAGUUGCCUGGGUUCCUUCGUCUGCUGGUUUUCUGCCCUACCACGGACUCUGUCUUCUUCUCCGGAGGAUCUCCACCUAUUGCCAGCUUAACCUGGGAACAGCAACGUACACCUGGCAAGAGGACUUUCUCUGGGAACAUCUGCCACGACCAGGUUCUACUGAUGUCAACUUACCAAGCACAUGGCAAACACUGGGAGGGAGAGUUCUGGAUGAAGUCAAACCAAAAGGACUGUUCUCAGCUCAUCAGUUAAGUCUCCAAACCCUAGUAUCACCAGACUCUUUGUAUUGUUAAUACGUCAAAUUAAAUGAUCAGCAUUCCGUAUUUAACUUAAUGUCUUUUAUGUUUUGCGUAGGAUGGCUUUAGUCUGGGGUUUCAGCUCAUAAUUACUGGUAGUCUAGGCUGGGUUAGUUUUGUAUUUUCAGUUGUUUCCCUACCUUGGUCUUGCCAUAUGUGGGUUAACAUUAGUUUGUUUCCAUGUUCAUGUAGUUACUCCUCCGUACCUCUAGAUGGUUUUUGUUUUUUAGUUCUAGUAGUAUAGUUCUUUGUCUAAGAUCCUGGUUCCUGUAUAGAGUUUCUUGUUGUGAAUAAAAG
ensembl:lncRNA